CCAGACUCCUACGGGAGGCAGCAGUGGGGAAUAUUGGACAAUGGACCGAGAGUCUGAUCCAGCAAUUCUGUGUGCACGAUGAAGUUUUUCGGAAUGUAAAGUGCUUUCAGUUGGGAAGAAAUAAAUGACGGUACCAACAGAAGAAGUGACGGCUAAAUACGUGCCAGCAGCCGCGGUAAUACGUAUGUCACGAGCGUUAUCCGGAUUUAUUGGGCGUAAAGCGCGUCUAGGUGGUUAUGUAAGUCUGAUGUGAAAAUGCAGGGCUCAACUCUGUAUUGCGUUGGAAACUGUAUAACUAGAGUACUGGAGAGGUAAGCGGAACUACAAGUGUAGAGGUGAAAUUCGUAGAUAUUUGUAGGAAUGCCGAUGGGGAAGCCAGCUUACUGGACAGAUACUGACGCUAAAGCGCGAAAGCGUGGGUAGCAAACAGGAUUAGAUACCCUGGUAGUCCACGCUGUAAACGAUGAUUACUAGGUGUUGGGGGUCGAACCUCAGCGCCCAAGCAAACGCGAUAAGUAAUCCGCCUGGGGAGUACGUACGCAAGUAUGAAACUCAAAGGAAUUGACGGGGGCCCGCACAAG
rnacentral:rRNA from 1 species